rnacentral:misc_RNA from 1 species
CUGAGUUACCGUUUUAUAACCCUUUGUGAACAUACCUACAACUGUUGCUUCGGCGGGUAGGCCGUCCCCUGAAAAGGACGCCUCCCGGCCCGGACCGGACCCCCCGCGGGACCGGACCCGGCGCCCGCCGGAGGAUAACCAAACUCUAUUGUAACGACGUUUCUUCUGAGUGGCAUAAGCAAAAUAAUCA